UGAACGCUGGCGGCGUGCCUAACACAUGCAAGUCGUACGAGAAAUCUUUUGUUCGCAGAAGAGAGUAAAGUGGCGCACGGGUGAGUAACGCGUGGAUAAUCUGCCUCUGAAUCGGGGAUAACGUUACGAAAGUGACGCUAAUACCGGAUAAUAUCUAGGAUGCUUCGGUUUUUUAGAUCAAAGGGGGCCACUACAUGUAAGCUUCUGUUUAGAGAUGAGUCCGCGUGCCAUUAGCUUGUUGGUAGGGUAACGGCCUACCAAGGCUGCGAUGGCUAGCUGGUCUGAGAGGAUGAUCAGCCACACUGGAACUGAGACACGGUCCAGACUCCUACGGGAGGCAGCAGUGAGGAAUCUUGCGCAAUGGGGGAAACCCUGACGCAGCAACGCCGCGUGAGUGAAGAAGGCUUUCGGGUCGUAAAGCUCUGUCAAGUGGGAAGAACCUGUCCUAUGUUAAUACCAUGGGGCACUGACGGUACCAUUGAAGGAAGCACCGGCUAACUCC
rnacentral:rRNA from 1 species